rnacentral:rRNA from 1 species
UACAGAGGGUGCAAGCGUUGUUCGGAAUUACUGGGUGUAAAGGGUUCGUAGGCGGUGUGGUAAGUCGGGAGUGAAAUUUCUGGGCUCAACUCAGAGACUGCUUCCGAAACUGCUGUGCUUGAGUGUGGGAGAGGCGCGUGGAAUUGCAGGUGUAGCGGUGAAAUGCGUAGAUAUCUGCAGGAACACCCGUGGCGAAAGCGGCGCGCUGGACCACUACUGACGCUGAGGAACGAAAGCUAGGGGAGCAAACAGG